UACGGGGGGUGCGAGCGUUGUCCGGAAUCACUGGGCGUAAAGGGCGCGUAGGCGGCCUGAUAAGUAGGGGGUGAAAUCUUGCGGCUUAACCGCAAGGCUGCCUUCUAAACUGUCAGGCUCGAGCACAGUAGAGGCAGGUGGAAUUCCCGGUGUAGCGGUGGAAUGCGUAGAGAUCGGGAAGAACAUCAGUGGCGAAGGCGGCCUGCUGGGCUGUUGCUGACGCUGAGGCGCGACAGCGUGGGGAGCAAACAGG
rnacentral:rRNA from 1 species